ensembl:snRNA U2 U2 spliceosomal RNA
AUAGCUUCUCGGCCUUUUGGCUAAGAUAAAGUGUAGUAUCUGUUCUUCUCAGUAAGAAGCAGUCUAAGAGCCAUGUUUUCCAAGUUACUGUAGUGCUGGCAUUUUACAAACCAAAUCUUU